rnacentral:rRNA from 1 species
UACGAAGGGGGCUAGCGUUGCUCGGAUUGACUGGGCGUAAAGAGCUCGUAGGCGGCCUGUCGCGUCGGAUGUGAAAGCCCGGGGCUUAACCCCGGGUCUGCAUUCGAUACGGGCAGGCUAGAGUGUGGUAGGGGAGACUGGAAUUCCUGGUGUAGCGGUGAAAUGCGCAGAUAUCAGGAGGAACACCGGUGGCGAAGGCGGGUCUCUGGGCCGAUACUGACGCUGAGGAGCGAAAGCGUGGGGAGCGAACAGG